CCUGGAGCCGGAGCACCCAGAGCAAGCAGGCUUCCCUUUCUGACCAAUUGCGUAGGCCCAGGACUCUGAGUGGGUGGAGUCGGGUGCUAGGGCUAACGCGAUUGACUAACGGAAACGGUCCUCUCCACCAAUGAGGAGGUGCGGCAGGAUAGAGGGGCGGGGCCUGGCGGUAGCGCUCCUGGGAAGUCUCUGGCCGUCGAGGCAACGAAAGAAAGGUCUUGAAAGUCGUUGGCUGUGGUGGAAGCGCGGCUGGAUGCUGCAGGCAGGUACCAGAGGUACAGAGCACUUGACCAUGGAAUGAAAUGUGAUUCUGUGUCCAGACUACAAAUUAUUACCUAAAUUCUGCCAUAUCAACUAAGUCAUAUGGCCUGUCACAGUUCAUUGUAAGAUGGAAAUUCUACCUUUUGGAUCAGGUACAAGCAGGGCCAGAGGAUACAAGUAAUCACCAUAAACCAGUUUCCCACUUGCCCCUGUCACCUAUCCUUUUGUACCAUCACUUCUCCAAGUCACAUCUCAGGAUGGUUUAUCGUGACCAGCUGAAGGAAAAGAAAACAAGUCAAACUUGACUUCUGAAUGCAUAUAUCAGUACAACCUUGAAAUGGACUUCCUCUGUACUAUAGCACCACUCUAUUAGGAUCAAGAGUGACCCUGAGAGAUAAUAAUAAAGGGAAAUACACCUGGCAUUUGGAACAUCUGACUACAGCAAGUGCACCCAAUAGUUAGAGCUUGAAGUGGUAUUCCUGGUAAUACAUUUUGUGUUAAAAAAGUGCUCUGAAGUAAAAAUGUCUACAGACUCCUAGGAAAUUUGGAAGAAUAAAUAGUUAGAAGGCUGGAUUGAGAAAUAAUGGAAACUUGGGAAAAGGAAAUCUGGGAAAGAAACAUGUGGUUAACUUAAAGCAGAGGGCACAAGUGUAAAGAUGUUUACAUUUACCAUUAAUAUUCAGCAGAGAGCACUGAACAUAGAAGGAACAUGGCACAACCAGUUAGACAGAAUGGAUUGACUGGCAGUCAUCAUCUGUCACUGGUCACCUCCAGUGGUAGAACAAAUGUCAGAUGUAUGCAGUAGACUUGGGAGUAGAGAUGGAGGUUUUGCAUGGUCUCAAUUCCUUGGGUUCCCACAUACAAAGGCUACUCUUGCUACUGCUACUGUGGAAUGUCCUACAUUCCAGACAGAGCUGAUACAAUUCCAUCCUUUGAGAAGACCAUCCAGACAUUUAAUGGCACGUUAGUUACAUUGGACCUCUUUCAUUCUGAAAGGAUCUACAAUUCAUCAUGAUUGGAACUGACAUGUAUUCAGCCAGUUUUCUUUAAGAGAUUACCUUCUCUGCUUGCAGGACCUCAGCCAUCAAAGCUAACUGAGUGUUCACAAAAUAAUUUAUAUGCAAGAAAAGGACCUUAAACUAUCACAUCAAACAAUGUAUACAGUAAUGGGGUGAAGCUGUGGGCACAUGGCCAUCGCAUCCACUAUUCUUCUUACAUACCACAGGACACAGAAGUUGUAUGUCUAACUAAGUGAUGAAACAGGUUUUGAAGGUGCUGCUGAGUUGCUGAUUUGGAGAUAAUACCAGCAAAGAUUGGAUGUCUUUCUGCAAGAGAUAGCAAAUGCCCUAAGCGAGUGGGUCCAUAUCUGUAGUGCCACUGGAUCAGAUGGUCAACAAUAAUUGAAGAGGAAAGAAACAGGCCGAACUGACUCCAUCUUGAAAAAGAAGGAAAUUCCAUCUUGCACUUUCAGUGAACUUUGCACUACAUGCCUGGUAGCCAUGGGGAUAGCAUACCUAUGGCCGAACUGGCCUCCUGGACUGAUCAACACCAGAUUCCAUACCAAGAUUUCCCGUCGCCAAAAAGAAUGUAAUAAUCUCCUAUAUAGUCAAUCACCUUUGUAAUCUUUAUGGCUCCCAUUGGCGUAGGCUACAAUAUAUAACCAGCUGACCCUUCUGAUUAUGAAUCAUGGCUGUAACCUGAUUGAAUCUCCCUUUAACACUUUCCAGCCUAGGUUUAAGGAAUUUGGGGAUGUGGGCUUGCGCAGUACACUUAAGGUAUCUAAGGUUUUCACAAAAGUCAGUCGGGGUCCCUGGCUAAAGAGGAAACUCUGCCUCGGACCCACCGGUGUAAUAAACUGUACUCCACUAU